rnacentral:rRNA from 1 species
GCAUAUCCAAUAAGCGGAGGAAAAGAAACCAACAGGGAUUGCCCUAGUAACGGCGAGUGAAGCGGCAACAGCUCAAAUUUGAAAUCUGGCUCUCGGGCCCGAGUUGUAAUUUGUAGAGGAUGCUUUUGGUGAGGUGCCUUCCGAGUUCCCUGGAACGGGACGCCAUAGAGGGUGAGAGCCCCGUCUGGUUGGACACCGAGCCUCUGUAAAGCUCCUUCGACGAGUCGAGUAGUUUGGGAAUGCUGCUCUAAAUGGGAGGUAUAUGUCUUCUAAAGCUAAAUAUUGGCCAGAGACCGAUAGCGCACAAGUAGAGUGAUCGAAAGAUGAAAAGCACUUUGAAAAGAGAGUUAAAAAGCACGUGAAAUUGUUGAAAGGGAAGCGCUUGUGACCAGACUUGGGCUUGGUUAAUCAUCCGGCGUUCUCGCCGGUGCACUUUUCCAGUCCAGGCCAGCAUCAGUUUGCCUUGGGGGAUAAAAGCUUCGGGAAUGUGGCUCCUCCGGGAGUGUUAUAGCCCGUUGCACAAUACCCUGGGGCGGACUGAGGUUCGCGCAUUCGCAAGGAUGCUGGCGUAAUGGUCAUCAGCGACCCGUCUUGAAAACACGG